rnacentral:rRNA from 1 species
AUCGAACGCUGGCGGCAUGCCUUACACAUGCAAGUCGAACGGCAGCACGGGAGCAAUCCUGGUGGCGAGUGGCGAACGGGUGAGUAAUAUAUCGGAACGUGCCCGGUCGUGGGGGAUAACGUAGCGAAAGCUACGCUAAUACCGCAUACGAUCUACGGAUGAAAGCGGGGGAUCGCAAGACCUCGCGCGAUUGGAGCGGCCGAUAUCAGAUUAGGUAGUUGGUGAGGUAAAGGCUCACCAAGCCGACGAUCUGUAGCUGGUCUGAGAGGACGACCAGCCACACUGGGACUGAGACACGGCCCAGACUCCUACGGGAGGCAGCAGUGGGGAAUUUUGGACAAUGGGCGCAAGCCUGAUCCAGCAAUGCCGCGUGCAGGAUGAAGGCC